rnacentral:lncRNA from 1 species
UUGGAUUUAGGUUUUAUAUGUGGGUUUAGGAAUUUAGGGAUUAAGGUUUAGGUUUUAGUAUUUAGAAGGUGAGAGGAUAUGGUUGGGGUCAACAUUAACUUAUUCCAUGGAAUCAUAGAUAUUUCAUAAUUUCAUCAAUAUAUACUAUGCUAUUUAUUUUAUUCCAUUCUAUUUGGGUUUAUGGUUUAUAUGUGGGUUUAUGGUUUAUAUUUGGGUUUAGAGUUUAUAUUUAGGUUUAUGGCUUAUAUUUGAAUUUAGGGCUUAUUGAUUAAGGUUAUAGGUUUAGUAUUUAGGGGUUGAGAUAAAGGUUAGAUUCAUAUAUUAUUUGAGUGAUAUGGAAUACACUCUUUAUUAAAAAAAAUUCUAUUUAUACGAGGUAAAGAAGUGUUUGACGUAGCUGAUUUACGUAAGGUAAAAUAGUGGUGUUUCACUCUUAUUCAUAACAGCAGUAAGUGACGACGUCAUGCACUCUCUCUUUCUUUUUUUUUUCUUUUUUUUUGAAUGAAUGUAAAAUUUUAUUCAAUCAAAACUUUAAUUACAUCAAGUGCUACUGUUAUGAUCUCCAUAUACAUAUCAAUAGACUCUCAAAACUCUACUUUUCUGUAUGUCAAAAAGAAAACUCAUGUAACUCUUGAGCCAAACCACACACUCAAGCUUUCCUCAAG